CUUAAAGUUUUCCUCCCAUGAGAAACAAUCCAGUUCUUGUCACUGGUGGACAUAAUUAAUGUUCCUAAAGUGUCAGCCUUACAUCAGCUGCUGUGGUGUUCACCAAACAGGCGGGAUGCAGCUCGGUGUUUUAGGUUCAUGUUUUUAUGUGCAUCCUUAUCUGGAAGUUUGUGUUUGCAAAGCAGGAAAACGAGCUCCUGGGGAACAUAAAGUGGAGCUAAAGUGGAGAUUUGCAGAUAAAGGCACCGGCUUACUACUCAGAACUUGCUCCAGUUCUUAGUAAAACUGAGUCCGUGUGCGUAGGAGGGGGCUCUGAACCCAGCAGCCUCUUCUUCACGACAUUUUCCCCACAACUUUUCAACAUAACUCCCUGGUUUAAGCCUCAUAUAUAAAUCUAAACAACAGUUUCAGACACAUGUUAUUUCUAAUAGAAAACAGGCUGAGUGAUAAAUGUAUGGGUGUGUGUGUAAAUAUUUGUGCCUCUGUGCCAGCAGUGCGUAAUUCUGGACACACCCCAGAGCGCUGCAUGGAUAGCGGCUGGUGCAACGUCA